rnacentral:rRNA from 1 species
GGGUUGUGAGGUUAAGCGACUAAGCGUACACGGUGGAUGCCCUGGCAGUCAGAGGCGAUGAAGGACGUGCUAAUCUGCGAUAAGCGUCGGUAAGGUGAUAUGAACCGUUAUAACCGGCGAUUUCCGAAUGGGGAAACCCAGUGUGAUUCGUCACACUAUCAUUAACUGAAUCCAUAGGUUAAUGAGGCGAACCGGGGGAACUGAAACAUCUAAGUACCCCGAGGAAAAGAAAUCAACCGAGAUUCCCCCAGUAGCGGCGAGCGAACGGGGAGCAGCCCAGAGCCUGAAUCAGUGUGUGUGUUAGUGGAAGCGUCUGGAAAGGCGCGCGAUACAGGGUGACAGCCCCGUACACAAAAAUGCACAUACUGUGAGCUCGAUGAGUAGGGCGGGACACGUGGUAUCCUGUCUGAAUAUGGGGGGACCAUCCUCCAAGGCUAAAUACUCCUGACUGACCGAUAGUGAACCAGUACCGUGAGGGAAAGGCGAAAAGAACCCCGGCGAGGGGAGUGAAAAAGAACCUGAAACCGUGUACGUACAAGCAGUGGGAGCACGCUUAGGCGUGUGACUGCGUACCUUUUGUAUAAUGGGUCAGCGACUUAUAUUCUGUAGCAAGGUUAACCGAAUAGGGGAGCCGAAGGGAAACCGAGUCUUAACUGGGCGUUAAGUUGCAGGGUAUAGACCCGAAACCCGGUGAUCUAGCCAUGGGCAGGUUGAAGGUUGGGUAACACUAACUGGAGGACCGAACCGACUAAUGUUGAAAAAUUAGCGGAUGACUUGUGGCUGGGGGUGAAAGGCCAAUCAAACCGGGAGAUAGCUGGUUCUCCCCGAAAGCUAUUUAGGUAGCGCCUCGUGAAUUCAUCUCCGGGGGUAGAGCACUGUUUCGGCAAGGGGGUCAUCCCGACUUACCAACCCGAUGCAAACUGCGAAUACCGGAGAAUGUUAUCACGGGAGACACACGGCGGGUGCUAACGUCCGUCGUGAAGAGGGAAACAACCCAGACCGCCAGCUAAGGUCCCAAAGUCAUGGUUAAGUGGGAAACGAUGUGGGAAGGCCCAGACAGCCAGGAUGUUGGCUUAGAAGCAGCCAUCAUUUAAAGAAAGCGUAAUAGCUCACUGGUCGAGUCGGCCUGCGCGGAAGAUGUAACGGGGCUAAACCAUGCACCGAAGCUGCGGCAGCGACGCUGAUGCGUUGUUGGGUAGGGGAGCGUUCUGUAAGCCUGUGAAGGUGUGCUGUGAGGCAUGCUGGAGGUAUCAGAAGUGCGAAUGCUGACAUAAGUAACGAUAAAGCGGGUGAAAAGCCCGCUCGCCGGAAGACCAAGGGUUCCUGUCCAACGUUAAUCGGGGCAGGGUGAGUCGACCCCUAAGGCGAGGCCGAAAGGCGUAGUCGAUGGGAAACAGGUUAAUAUUCCUGUACUUGGUGUUACUGCGAAGGGGGGACGGAGAAGGCUAUGUUGGCCGGGCGACGGUUGUCCCGGUUUAAGCGUGUAGGCUGGUUUUCCAGGCAAAUCCGGAAAAUCAAGGCUGAGGCGUGAUGACGAGGCACUACGGUGCUGAAGCAACAAAUGCCCUGCUUCCAGGAAAAGCCUCUAAGCAUCAGGUAACAUCAAAUCGUACCCCAAACCGACACAGGUGGUCAGGUAGAGAAUACCAAGGCGCUUGAGAGAACUCGGGUGAAGGAACUAGGCAAAAUGGUGCCGUAACUUCGGGAGAAGGCACGCUGAUAUGUAGGUGAAGUCCCUCGCGGAUGGAGCUGAAAUCAGUCGAAGAUACCAGCUGGCUGCAACUGUUUAUUAAAAACACAGCACUGUGCAAACACGAAAGUGGACGUAUACGGUGUGACGCCUGCCCGGUGCCGGAAGGUUAAUUGAUGGGGUCAGCGCAAGCGAAGCUCUUGAUCGAAGCCCCGGUAAACGGCGGCCGUAACUAUAACGGUCCUAAGGUAGCGAAAUUCCUUGUCGGGUAAGUUCCGACCUGCACGAAUGGCGUAAUGAUGGCCAGGCUGUCUCCACCCGAGACUCAGUGAAAUUGAACUCGCUGUGAAGAUGCAGUGUACCCGCGGCAAGACGGAAAGACCCCGUGAACCUUUACUAUAGCUUGACACUGAACAUUGAGCCUUGAUGUGUAGGAUAGGUGGGAGGCUUUGAAGUGUGGACGCCAGUCUGCAUGGAGCCGGCCUUGAAAUACCACCCUUUAAUGUUUGAUGUUCUAACGUUGACCCGUUAUCCGGGUUGCGGACAGUGUCUGGUGGGUAGUUUGACUGGGGCGGUCUCCUCCUAAAGAGUAACGGAGGAGCACGAAGGUUGGCUAAUCCUGGUCGGACAUCAGGAGGUUAGUGCAAUGGCAUAAGCCAGCUUGACUGCGAGCGUGACGGCGCGAGCAGGUGCGAAAGCAGGUCAUAGUGAUCCGGUGGUUCUGAAUGGAAGGGCCAUCGCUCAACGGAUAAAAGGUACUCCGGGGAUAACAGGCUGAUACCGCCCAAGAGUUCAUAUCGACGGCGGUGUUUGGCACCUCGAUGUCGGCUCAUCACAUCCUGGGGCUGAAGUAGGUCCCAAGGGUAUGGCUGUUCGCCAUUUAAAGUGGUACGCGAGCUGGGUUUAGAACGUCGUGAGACAGUUCGGUCCCUAUCUGCCGUGGGCGCUGGAGAACUGAGGGGGGCUGCUCCUAGUACGAGAGGACCGGAGUGGACGCAUCACUGGUGUUCGGGUUGUCAUGCCAAUGGCACUGCCCGGUAGCUAAAUGCGGAAGAGAUAAGUGCUGAAAGCAUCUAAGCACGAAACUUGCCCCGAGAUGAGUUCUCCCUGACUCCUUGAGAGUCCUGAAGGAACGUUGAAGACGACGACGUUGAUAGGCCGGGUGUGUAAGCGCAGCGAUGCGUUGAGCUAACCGGUACUAAUGAACCGUGAGGCUUAACCUUACAACGCCGAAGGUGUUU